rnacentral:rRNA from 1 species
CACUCCUGCGGGAGGCAGCAGUGAGGAAUAUUGGACAAUGGGUGGAAGCCUGAUCCAGCCAUCCCGCGUGCAGGAAGACGGCCCUAUGGGUUGUAAACUGCUUUUAUCUGGGGAUAAACCUACUUACGUGUAAGUAGCUGAAGGUACCAGAAGAAUAAGCACCGGCUAACUCCGUGCCAGCAGCCGCGGUAAUACGGAGGGUGCAAGCGUUAUCCGGAUUUAUUGGGUUUAAAGGGUCCGUAGGCGGACUGAUAAGUCAGUGGUGAAAUCCGACAGCUUAACUGUCGAACUGCCAUUGAUACUGUUAGUCUUGAGUAAGGUUGAAGUGGCUGGAAUAAGUAGUGUAGCGGUGAAAUGCAUAGAUAUUACUUAGAACACCAAUUGCGAAGGCAGGUCACUAAGUCUUAACUGACGCUGAUGGACGAAAGCGUGGGGAGCGAACAGGAUUAGAAACCCGGGUAGUCCCAUG